AUGGGGUCGUUCAACGGCCACGUGCUGCCAGGGACGCUGUUCCUAGUGGUGGGCCUGUGGCGGGUGUGGUCCGCCGUCGCGCGCUUCGCCGCCGACCCGCCGUCGUUCCGCGUCCGCGCGUGGUGCCCCCUCGAGCUCCCCGGGGCGCCCCGCCUCCUGGAGCUCUACGUGGUGGCUGGCGGCACGUUCCUCGACAUGUGCCUGGAGCUCGGCGGCGGCGUCCUCGCCGGCCGCGGCGAUGGGGUCGCCCCGGAGUCCAGCCUCAUCUAUCUCGAGCACGCCGGCAUGCUCCUCAUGUUCUUCCUCUUCGGCGCGCUCGCCCUCCUCUCCCAGAAGCGCAGCAGGUACCUGCCCCUGACCGACGGCGAGCUGUGCCUGGUGGCGGCGGCAGCGUUCACGUCGGAAUUCCUGCUCUUCUCCUACCACUCGGCCACCCACACAGGACUGGAGGGGUACUACCACCACCUCCUCGUCAUCCUCAUCGGCCUCUGCAUCCUCGCCACCGUCCUUGGCGCGCUCUUGCCGGCGAGCUUCCCCGUCGACGUCGCUGCCGGCAUGCUCAUGGCGCUGCAGGGGCUGUGGUUCUACCAGACGGCGCUCACGCUGUACGGCCCCAUGCUCCCGGCCGGGUGCGACCGAGAUGCCAGCGGCCACCAAGUCGACUGCCACAGCCGCGCCGCAGGGGAACGCGCCGAGCAGCUGGCUAACUUCCAGCUGUUCGGGGCUGUGUUCCUCGCCUUCGUCUACGUGCUUGGGUGCUAUGCUGUCGCCGCGGCCGUGUACGGGCACCCUGACCUGGCGGCCAUGCAUGAGGAGCACGCCGCCGCCCUGGAGUGCCGCGGCGGCGCCGAGGAGUGCGUGGCCUAG
rnacentral:rRNA from 1 species